rnacentral:rRNA from 1 species
CGGAUUGCAGCCUGCAACUCGGCUGCAUGAAGCUGGAAUCGCUGGUAAUCGCGGAUCAGAAUGCCGCGGUGAAUACGUUCCCGGGUCUUGUACACACCGCCCGUCACACCAUGGGAGUAGGUAAUGCCCGAAGUCGGUGACCUAACCGGAAGGAAGGAGCCGCCGAAGGCAGGACUUAUAACUGGGGUGAAGUCGUAACAAGGUACC